GCUUAUUUCACCCUUUUAUCUCUGUGAACUCUGUGAGUUCAGAAGGGAUUUUCCCUGAAGAGACAGAGACGUGAGGGAGGAGUCACCAUAAAGGAUUAAUUAACAAAAAAAAAUAUAUUUUUAAUUAUGUUGGUGGGUAUGUACUGCCUUGGAAGGAACACCUCAUAUUUAUGUGAGUCUCAAACAAACACCAAAGCUGAAGAGAUGAGUCCCUCACGCCCAGCUCUGCGACGUGCUCAGGCUGUGAGCUGAGAACACCUAUGAGGCGGCACCGCCCUGAGGGGACGGGCGGCAACGCCCGGGAAGGGCGCGUGACCCAGAGGUGACCAUGAGGUGACCCCCAGGUGACCCCGACCUCACCGCCUCCAGAUGGAAAGAGCGGGAACGAUGAGGCGAGAAGCGAGAGCGGCGGGAAGCGAAAACGGCGGGAAGAGAGAGACACGUUCUGCGCUCCUAUUGGCUGGCGGGCGGCGGGGACACCUAUAUAAGGCUCACGGGGAAAUGCAAACUCCUUACAGCGUGACAGGAAUCCCACUGCUCUGAGGAAAAGACGGCAAGCGGCAUCCCGGGCUGAGGAGCUCCCGCAGAAGACGGCGGAAGAAGCCACGUGUGGAACCGGGCGGCAGGAGGAUGCAAGCAGAGGGAGCAAGAAGAGGAAGCAGAAGACUGCGGCUGGGCUAAGGGAGAGGCGGCCUGGGCAAAAGCAUCUCCCUGUCACCAGGGGCAUAGUCAUGUCGCAGUAGAGCGUUGCCGGCACUUUAGGUGACCAGGCCGGCUUUGUGCUGGGCGACCUCCCUGUAAGCAGGGCUCGGGUCUUUGCUGUAGUUGGCCUUUUGCCUUGUUGCUCCUUUGGCUGCCUGGGGAAGGUGGGCCCCUGUAAGGAGGGCGAGAGCUGCUUUCUCCGCACCCGAGUGGGAAAUGGAGCUCGCUGGACCCCACGGGCACCCUGUAAGCAGGGUAGCGCCCUUCCCCUGCCACUGUUCCUCUGGCCGCUCAGCGCUGAUGCCUGCUGGUGGCCUGUCCGUGUGUUGGCCCUGUACUCGGGGCGUGUGUCACGCCACUUGGCCUUAAGUCACCUGGGAAUCCCCUUGGCGCGUUGAGGUCUGAGGCCUCCGUGCAGCCCCGGGGCGGGACAGAGGCUCUUGUCUGCUGCUCGUGGGUACGGGGUUUUAUUUCCCCAGGCCUUGGCUGCACUGCCUUCUCCUUCCGUUCUGGAAAGCCCUGUCUGUGUGGUUGUGUUCCCCUUCCUUCCCUUGUUUGCUUUUGUGUGUGUGACUGUGCGAUUGAAGUCUCCCCUUAGGCCUCCAUGACUAUGGCUGCAGCUUAGCUGUGGCUUCCCAGGGGGGAAUGGAGGACUCGGUGGAUGCAGCAAGGGGGAUGUUCCCUCUUAGCUCCGCGAGUGGUGCAAGUGUCCUUUUGUCUUGCCCCUUUUUUCCUAGGGCAGAACAGAGCUGUGUGGUAGUUGCGUGGCCAUGGCCGCCCUGUAUCCAGGGUUUGGGUCUGUGCCUGUGUGGCCCCCUGUCCUGCUGGCGACACGCCAGCGUGACAGCCCCGUACUCGGGGCGUGUGUCACAAACUGUGGAGCCCUCUGUCCCCGGAGCGGCCCGCCCCCCCUGUAAUCAGGUCUGGGGAGGCUGCGUUGGUGCAGCCGGCUGCUUUAGCCAGCUGGUGGGAGUGACCCCUCCCUGGCCCGUUAGAGGGUGCAGGUUGAGGUGCUACUUGUGGCUGGGGCGACUUCCCCGCUGUGUGGGUAGAGGUUGUUCCCUGGGCUCCUGAAGACGUGGUGAUGAUUGUGCUGCGGCCGGGCGGGCCCGCCUGUACCUCGGGCGUUGGCAGGAGCUGCGUGCUCCGUGGGGCUUUUGGACGUGGUGCGGCGUGGGGUACCGUCCUGUAGUCAGGGCUGUGCGUGCCCCCUGCGCUUAGGAGGAUGAGUUCUGAGAGACCCCCUGUACUCAGGUGGGUACCUUCGGCCCGGCCUUUCAGAGGCGUGGUGCUGAG
ensembl:lncRNA